GACGUAGGGGGCGAGCGUUGUCCGGAUUCAUUGGGCGUAAAGAGCGCGUAGGCGGCCCGGAAAGUGGGGUGUGAAAACCCGAGGCUCAACCUCGGGCGUGCACUCCAAACUCCCGGGCUCGAGGCAGGUAGGGGAGAUCGGAAUUCCUGAUGUAGCGGUGAAAUGCGCAGAUAUCAGGAGGAACACCUAUUGCGAAGGCAGCUCGCUGGGACGGUACUGACACUGAGACGCGAAAGCGUGGGGAGCAAACAGG
rnacentral:rRNA from 1 species